rnacentral:rRNA from 1 species
UACGGGAGGCAGCAGUGAGGAAUAUUGGUCAAUGGACGAGAGUCUGAACCAGCCAAGUAGCGUGCAGGAUGACGGCCCUAUGGGUUGUAAACUGCUUUUAUGCGGGGAUAAAGUGCACCACGUGUGGUGUUUUGUAGGUACCGCAUGAAUAAGGACCGGCUAAUUCCGUGCCAGCAGCCGCGGUAAU